ACCACACUUGUAGAUCCUGAGGGGAGCCUAACACCUUCCUGUCGAGAUAAUUUCUAUCCCUUACCCUAAUCUCCGGUUUCUAAAUCUAAAACCCAUCUUAAGUGUCAUAAUGCACUUAAUCAUUAGGUGCGACUCUUCAAAUUCUAAAAUACAAUUCCCAAAAGGGAACAAGUUGUCCUCCCAAAUGUCAGAAGCCCGAUUUCGACUAUAGAAAAAGGGGGCGCGACAAUCACCUGAUGCCUCUUCACUAAAGGGGCCUGCAACAGACAGAGUGUAUCAUUAAAGAAUAAAAUACAUCUAAGGUAUAUACUGCAAGGGAGUAAACAGAAAUCAAAUUAUACUUGAAUGAUGGAACAUGAAGGACCCUAUGUAAGAAAAUAUCUGAAGAAAGUAUCACAUCUCCAAACUCAAGAACCUUUACUCUAUGUCCAUUUGGUAGACUUAUCAGUAGAGGAUAAGGAAAUUUGGUGAUGUUAGAGAGUGCAUGAUUAUUAAAGGUCGUAUGGUUUAGAGGCUCCUGAGUCUAUGAUCCAAAUAUCAACCUUUGAUUCAAAACAUUUGCAUGAAGGUUUGUCAAAAUCAAUGGAAGAAGUACAUACAACAAUACAUGAAAAGUUGGCACUACUACUGGUGACAGUGCCAUUGCUGGAAGAUCCUCUCGCAUAUCCUACUUGAAAGUGCUGCAUCAAGUUCAUUAUCUGCCCAUAUUGCUCCUUUGUCAAGGUGACAUUCUGAUUUCAUCUUGUAGGUUCUGCUCAUUUCCAUUCUCAUGAAUCAUAUCAACUGGGGUCCCACGUAUAUUUUCCACAAAUCCUUUUCCUCUAUUGAACUUGUGGUUCUGGUUGUUCCCUGAUUAUAGGGUUGAGCAUUAGCAUGAUUGAAGUUUUUGUUAUUGUAUGAACUCCCUUGAGGGUAUCCAUGUAAUUUAUAACACUUCUCCCUUAUAUGUACCGGUCUUUUGCGAUAGUCACAUAAUGGAUGACCCUCAUUAUUGUUGAUGGCUGUGUAAUGGAUCUUGAAGUUCCUUGCUCCAAAUGAUUUUAACGAUGUGGACUUGCAUUUAUAUGCAGUGACGUAGAGUCUAAACUGAGUUGAAUAUUAGCUUUGAAUUUCUUUUAUUUUUCUUCCUGUAUCAGUAGAGAGAAAGCUUGUGCCAUAGAAGGCAGAUGCUUCAUCAUAAGAAUGCUUCCUCGCACUAUUGUAUAGACC
rnacentral:lncRNA from 1 species